UACGUAGGGUGCAAGCGUUGUCCGGAAUUAUUGGGCGUAAAGAGCUCGUAGGCGGUUUGUCGCGUCUGCCGUGAAAGUCCGGGGCUCAACUCCGGAUCUGCGGUGGGUACGGGCAGACUAGAGUGAUGUAGGGGAGACUGGAAUUCCUGGUGUAGCGGUGGAAUGCGCAGAUAUCAGGAAGAAACACCCGUGGCGGAAGGCGGCUCUCUGGGACGGUAUUGACGCUGAGACGCGAAAGCGUGGGGAGCGAACAGG
rnacentral:rRNA from 1 species